CCUGGGUAGCUCAGUGAGUAGAGCAUCAGCCUCUUAAUCUCAAGGUUGUGGGUUCGAGUCACAUGCUAAAGA